CGAAAUGCUUCUUGUGUAUUCUCGAUGAAUUAACAUUUAUAUAUAGAUAUAGGCGGAUUUAUUUAGGAUGUAAGAAGCCCUUUUGGCAACUCUUCAUUCACAAAGAUUUCUGGUUUCUUUGUUCUUUCUCCCUACUUAUAUUCAACAAUGGUUGCUACAAAUGUUGAGUUCCAAUUCUACCGAUGCUCUGUUGCUGGCCUGGGUGAUCGAAGACCAAAACCUUGAGCGGAUUUUCAGUCGACGGGAUCAUUGAAUCAAAGGAAGUUCCCAGAAUGCAAAAUCCAAUGUUUCUAUAGAAGAACAAGAUGAAAGAAAAAGUUAGAUCAUAAUAAAUCCCUAAAAUCAAAAGACCUAAUAAAGAAGUAUUUUCAUCGGAUCAACGAUUUACCAGACUGCACUAUUGUCUUUGGGCUUACUCACAAGGAGCUCAACAAGUGCACAGGAGAAAGGUGUUUAAGGCUACCUCCCUCUCACUUAAAUAAAGCCACUUGUUGCUUGGAAGAAGAUCCUUAUGUUGUGAGGCAACUUCAAGAGGGCCGGGCACAAAUGAGGAGGCUAUUCAAUAGGGUUAACUGGAAAUCGCCCUAUAGAAUUACUAAUGGUUGAAGAUGAAGAAUGAAGUGGAAGGAACUAGUUGAAAUGGAUCGAUAUUAGAGUGGAAUCGUCAAUAAAUAGACGGAGGCUUCUUCGUAUAGAAAGCCAGAUCGAAUAAAAAAUCGAUAUGCGUAUAGAUAGAAAGAGAUGGAUAUAGUUGCCUGUAUCUAAACCAAAUAAGGUUAUUUUUUCCUUAUUUGGUUUAGAGUUGGGGCUUUCGAGCAAGCUGAAAAACUAUAGCGCACGUGUUAGCACAAUGGUGCUCUACGAUCAGCUUUACUCCUCUCAAGUGCUUGCCCUCAUGCUGAGUAGUUGUAUUAGGAGAGGACUGGGCACAAAUGAGGAGGCUCAGCUUGAUCUGCAACCAUCCUUUGGUAGAUGAGUAGACAACACACAUUUCGGGCCGAACCGAAGCGAAGAGCUCAACCAAGAGGGCAUACACAUAACAAUUCAUCAUGGAAUUUCUUGAUUACAAAAUGUAGAUUUCGUUAUUCAUUGCACAAUUGUCAUCAUUGAAUUUGUUGAUUGAAUUUGAUUUCAUUUCUUGAUUAUAAAAUGUAGAUUAGUUGAUUGUUGCAUU